rnacentral:rRNA from 1 species
UGGGGGAUAUUGCACAAUGGGCGAAAGCCUGAUGCAGCGACGCCGCGUGAGGGAAGACGGUUUUCGGAUUGUAAACCUCUGUCUUCGGGGACGAAAAGGGACGGUACCCGAGGAGGAAGCCACGGCUAACUACGUGCCAGCAGCCGCGGUAAUACGUAGGGGGCGAGCGUUGUCCGGAAUUACUGGGCGUAAAGGGUGCGUAGGCGGUUUUGUAAGUUGGAUGUGAAAUACCCGGGCUUAACUUGGGGGCUGCAUCCAAUACUGCAGGACUUGAGUGCAGGAGAGGAAAGCGGAAUUCCUAGUGUAGCGGUGAAAUGCGUAGAUAUUAGGAGGAACACCGGUGGCGAAGGCGGCUUUCUGGACUGUAACUGACGCUGAGGCACGAAAGCGUGGGGAGCAAACAGGAUUAGAUACCCUGGUAGU